UACGAAGGGGGCAAGCGUUGUUCGGAUUUACUGGGCGUAAAGGGCGCGCAGGCGGCUCUUCAAGUCAGAUGUGAAAGCCCCGGGCUCAACCUGGGAACUGCAUUUGAGACUGAAGAACUCGAGUUCGGGAGAGGAUGGCGGAAUUCCCAGUGUAGAGGUGAAAUUCGUAGAUAUUAGGAAGAACACCAGUGGCGAAGGCGGCUCACUGGCCCGGUACUGACGCUGAGGCGCGAAAGCGUGGGGGAGCAAACAGG
rnacentral:rRNA from 1 species